rnacentral:rRNA from 1 species
UACGGGGGGGGCAAGCGUUGUUCGGAAUUACUGGGCGUAAAGGGCGCGUAGGCGGCCUGAUAAGUAGGGGGUGAAAUCCUGCGGCUUAACCGCAGGGCUGCCUUCUAAACUGUCAGGCUAGAGCACAGUAGAGGCAGGUGGAAUUCCCGGUGUAGCGGUGGAAUGCGUAGAUAUUGCUCGGAAGGCCAGAGCCGAAGGGGCCCUACUGGUGCGCAACUGACACUGAGGCACGAAAGCGUGGGGAGCAAACAGG